UCGGAUGUGGUGCAUGGAGCACACCUGCCUGCCUUUCGUGCAAAUUCAGCGAUAUUGAAGCGGGAGUCCGGGUUCGAUUCCCGGCAUCCGAA